AGUCGAAGGUAGCACAGAGAGCUUGCUCUCGGGUGACGAGUGGCGGACGGGUGAGUAAUGUCUGGGAAACUGCCUGAUGGAGGGGGAUAACUACUGGAAACGGUAGCUAAUACCGCAUAAUGUCGCAAGACCAAAGAGGGGGACCUUCGGGCCUCUUGCCAUCAGAUGUGCCCAGAUGGGAUUAGCUAGUAGGUGGGGUAACGGCUCACCUAGGCGACGAUCCCUAGCUGGUCUGAGAGGAUGACCAGCCACACUGGAACUGAGACACGGUCCAGACUCCUACGGGAGGCAGCAGUGGGGAAUAUUGCACAAUGGGCGCAAGCCUGAUGCAGCCAUGCCGCGUGUAUGAAGAAGGCCUUCGGGUUGUAAAGUACUUUCAGCGGGGAGGAAGGUGUUGAGGUUAAUAACCUCAGCAAUUGACGUUACCCGCAGAAGAAGCACCGGCUAACUCCGUGCCAGCAGCCGCGGUAAUACGGAGGGUGCAAGCGUUAAUCGGAAUUACUGGGCGUAAAGCGCACGCAGGCGGUCUGUCAAGUCGGAUGUGAAAUCCCCGGGCUCAACCUGGGAACUGCAUUCGAAACUGGCAGGCUAGAGUCUUGUAGAGGGGGGUAGAAUUCCAGGUGUAGCGGUGAAAUGCGUAGAGAUCUGGAGGAAUACCGGUGGCGAAGGCGGNCCCCUGGACAAAGACUGACGCUCAAGUGCGAAAGCGUGGGGAGCAAACAGGAUUAGAUACCCCUGGUAGUCCACGCCGUAAACGAUGUCGACUUGGAGGUUGUGCCCUUUGAGCGUGGCUUCCGGAACUUACGCGUUUAAUCCAACGCCUGGGGGAGUACCGCCGCAAGGUUAAAACUCAAAUGAAUUGACGGGGGCCCGCACAAGCGGUGGAGCAUGUGGUUUAAUUCGAUGCAACGCGAAGAACCUUACCUACUCUUGACAUCCAGAGAACUUUCCAGAGAUGGAUUGGUGCCUUCGGGAACUCUGAGACAGGUGCUGCAUGGCUGUCGUCAGCUCGUGUUGUGAAAUGUUGGGUUAAGUCCCGCAACGAGCGCAACCCUUAUCCUUUGUUGCCAGCGGUUAGGCCGGGAACUCAAAGGAGACUGCCAGUGAUAAACUGGAGGAAGGUGGGGAUGACGUCAAGUCAUCAUGGCCCUUACGAGUAGGGCUACACACGUGCUACAAUGGCGCAUACAAAGAGAAGCGACCUCGCGAGAGCAAGCGGACCUCAUAAAGUGCGUCGUAGUCCGGAUUGGAGUCUGCAACUCGACUCCAUGAAGUCGGAAUCGCUAGUAAUCGUAGAUCAGAAUGCUACGGUGAAUACGUUCCCGGGCCUUGUACACACCGCCCGUCACACCAUGGGAGUGGGUUGCAAAAGAAGUAGGUAGCUUAACCUUCGGGAGGGCGCUUACCAC
rnacentral:rRNA from 1 species